rnacentral:rRNA from 1 species
UAAGUUUAAACAUUCAAAGAGAUUAUAAAUAAUUUAAUAAAUUUGGCGGUGUAUGUAAAAUUUAGAGGAACUUGUUCUAUAAAGGAAGAUACCCCCUAUCAUUUUCCAUCAUUAAAAAGCUAGUAUAUCGCCGUUUUUAGAAAACAUAAUUUUUAUGUUUUUAAUAUCUUAUUCAGAUUACUUCAGGUCGAGAUGUUGUUUAUAUGGUGGUUUGAGAUGAGUUACAUUCAAUAUAAUGAAACGGAUUUGAAAAUAUUAAAAAUUCAAUAAAGGCGGAUUUAAAAGUAAACUUAGUACUACUAUCUUGAACAUAAUUACGACAUGU